rnacentral:rRNA from 1 species
AUUGAACGCUGGCGGCAUGCCUUACACAUGCAAGUCGAGCGGCAGCGCGCGGGCAACCCUGGCGGCGAGCGGCGGACGGGUGAGUAAUACAUCGGAACGUGUCCUUUCGUGGGGGAUAACCAGUCGAAAGACUGGCUAAUACCGCAUGAGAUCUCACGAUGAAAGCGGGGGACCGCAAGGCCUCGCGCGAUUGGAGCGGCCGAUGUCGGAUUAGCUAGUUGGCGGGGUAAAAGCCCACCAAGGCGACGAUCCGUAGCUGGUUUGAGAGAACGACCAGCCACACUGGGACUGAGAAACGGCCCAGACUCCUACGGGAGGCAGCAGUGGGGAAUUUUGGACAAUGGGGGCAACCCUGAUCCAGCCAUGCCGCGUGUGUGAAGAAGGCCUUCGGGUUGUAAAGCACUUUCGGCCGGAACGAAAUCGCGCGGAUUAAUAACCCGCGUGGAUGACGGUACCGGAAGAAGAAGCACCGGCUAACUACGUGCCAGCCGCCGCAGUAA